GAUGAACGCUGGCGGCGUGCCUAAUACAUGCAAGUCGAGCGAACAGACGAGGAGCUUGCUCCUCUGACGUUAGCGGCGGACGGGUGAGUAACACGUGGAUAACCUACCUAUAAGACUGGGAUAACUUCGGGAAACCGGAGCUAAUACCGGAUAAUAUAUUGAACCGCAUGGUUCAAUAGUGAAAGACGGUUUUGCUGUCACUUAUAGAUGGAUCCGCGCCGCAUUAGCUAGUUGGUAAGGUAACGGCUUACCAAGGCAACGAUGCGUAGCCGACCUGAGAGGGUGAUCGGCCACACUGGAACUGAGACACGGUCCAGACUCCUACGGGAGGCAGCAGUAGGGAAUCUUCCGCAAUGGGCGAAAGCCUGACGGAGCAACGCCGCGUGAUUGAUGAAGGUCUUCGGAUCGUAAAACUCUGUUAUUAGGGAAGAACAAAUGUGUAAGUAACUAUGCACGUCUUGACGGUACCUAAUCAGAAAGCCACGGCUAACUACGCG
rnacentral:rRNA from 1 species